CAGGAAGGAGUCAGCCUCACUACUUUCCUGGAGAAAGUUGACACCAGGCAGCCCUUCCUCCUCUGCAUUGUGGCUGCUUUUGAUGGACUGUUCAAGGCACACUUUGUCUUCAGCCUCUCAUAUGAUGAAGCUUUCUCCAGUUUCUACACCUUUGUUCAAACCACAAUCUACAACAUUGAUGUUGGGAACACAAAAGAAAGCCUAUGAGUCAAGGACAUGUAUAGUGUGAGUCAUUAAAUGUAGAUUUAUGCUUAAAUGUUUCAACUACAAAAUGGGUACGAAAUUAUGGCACUGAAUACCAGGUUGGCAUGUUUUUAUGUACUAGAAUGUCCAGUGAUCUACCUGUGUUUAAGAAAAUUUGCUAUAUCAUAAUACAGGAACAACAUGCAUUCAUACUAGGCUGCACUGUAAACACCUUAUACUUUGAUGAACACUUUCAUGCAUAUUGUAUUGAAGAAAAGCAUAAUGAGUACAGUGUUAUUUGCACUGAACAGCUUAAAUAUGUCAGACCCUUUGAUAAGCAAUAUUCUAAUGAAAGUGAGAGAGCGUACAUUGUUCCAAAUUGUUACGUUUUAGAAAAACAUUUUUCAUUUGUGGUGCAAGUUUUGAAUAAAUGCGUUUCAGAAAA